rnacentral:rRNA from 1 species
UACGGGAGGCAGCAGUGAGGAAAUAUUGCACRAUGGARGAAACUCUGAUGCAGCAACGCCGCGUGGAGGAUGACGCAUUUCGGUGUGUAAACUCCUUUUAUAAGAGAAGAAAAUGACGGUAUCUUAUGAAUAAGUCCCGGCUAACUCCGUGCCAGCAGCCGCGGUAA